UGUAGCUCAGUGGAACAGCACAUACCUAGCAUGUGUGAGGCACUGGGUUCAAUUUCUUUAAAAAGAUUAAAAGUCCAUUGACAAGGAAAAAAAAAUAUUUAAAAGAAGGUAAGGUCAAGAGUCUAUCUAUUUCUCACCUUUCAAUGGAGUUGAAGGAGAAAAUAAGGAAUCCCUUACCUCUAGAAUCUUGGAUAAAUGGGGAAGAAGAUGAAGUUUAAAUUCAAUACAACUGUAAACUGGAAAAAUCAGGAAUUCUGGGAAAGUAGGGAAUUCAAGAAAGCACAGGAUCCAAGGAAAAACUACAGAUGCCAGUUGUGGGGGAAAAAAAAAGUACCAUACAAGAGAGAAACCCACUUAAGAGACCAGGAUUUUUUCUCAAACAAAUCUAGCUUACAGGAGGUUAAAACUCCAUGUGGUUAUUCAAAGAUUCAUAAAACCCUACAACGAAAACCAUACCAUUCAAUUUUCCAUACCAUUAUGGCAAUUUACCACCCUUUGAGACCCUCUGUCAAACAUCUGUAAACUCUAGGAAAAUAACAAAAAUACAAGUAGCUGAAGAUACAGAAAGGUAAGAAAAGGCAGGAAGAUUAUGGAGGGGAAACAAAACUCAAAGAAGAAUCUAG
rnacentral:lncRNA from 1 species